CUGCUAUAAACCAAGGCUUGAGUUCAGCUUAAGUCACAUGAACCUCACAGAGGCAAGGAGAAAGAGCAGUGCUGUCUCUCCUAAGCACCAAAUAGGAGAAAACACAACCCAUGUAAAGUAUGUAGCUCCUGGUGCCCUCCAGGAAGAGGUGUGGUUGCCAAGUAAUAGCAGAUUGGAUUGGGGAUGGCAAGCAGGAGCUCCAGAAGGCUGAAACAGAAAUUUCCAUGUCUCUAUAGGGUUGAGUACACCAUUCCCAUAUGUUCUAGAAGUUAUUCCGAUGUAAUAAUGCUCCCAAUUUAGAGGAUAAUUGCUAAAAGACAAAUUUAACUAUAAUUUUUGUAGCACUUUGUUUACAAGACAAAGCACAUGGAGAUUUCAACCUUUCUAGUAGAUCCUAAGAGACAAGGGAAUCAAAAGCAGUCUAGCCAGCAUAUCUAUCCAAGCUGCUCUCCAGCACUGCCAUUCCCAGGUACCAGCAUUAUUGUUGUCAGCAGCAAAACACAGCAGUAGGUUUCUCCAUGUGGAGCUCUGGAAGAUGAUGCACCAGUGGAGGUUUGUGAUUAAAUAAAUUGCAUAUGUAUAUGGCUAAUUUAGUCUGCAAUUAUAAAAGGGGGGGGUGCUUUUGUCAGAUGUUUCAUGUCAUUUGUUGAGGCUUUUGUGUUGUUGUUACAAAUUCAUUUCUCUUAGAUUAGACAGUGGUGAGAUUGAUUCUAUCCAUCAGGAUAUCAUUUUUCUCCAAUGGAAAUGUCAGCUUUAUUCUGUUUAAAACUUCGAAUACAAAAUGAUGUUCAUUUUGGUCUUGUUUUCGUAAGUGCUUUUUUAUUUUCUUUUUUUAAAAUUUCUUUCUGCAAGAUAAUAAAACCCCAAAACAAUGCUAUGAGCAAAACAACUCAAUUAUUUCAACAGUAAUUAGCAAAGACAUCAGGUCAAAGGAAUGCAAACAUACAAGUCUCUUGCUAUGCCUCACUGCAAAACUGUGGUGUGCUGCGUUAGGAGAUUUGUUAAAUCUUUCAGCAAUUGCAGGGAAAUAAGUAUCAACAUGUCUGCUUGUACCCAAGUAUUUUUAAUACUUUCAAGAUGUAUAUCUAAUAUUCAGAUGUAUUCAGAUUAAUUUAUUCAGACAUUCCUUAAGUUCAACCUUAUUUCUGGUGGAGACAGAAGCUUUCUAUUAGCAACAGAUUAUGUAAGCCUUCCUUUUGCAUUUCACCUACAUGGAACAGUGACAUAAGGAAUUAGGUAACUGCUAAAACAUUAUUGCUGAGACAUCACUUUUAGUUGAUAGGCAGGCCAAAAUUUAAAAAAGUAUCUUUUGGGGGGCACUAAAGGCCUGUUUUUCAUGAAGUAAGCGUUGCUGACAUCUUUGUGAGUUACAGAAAGCUGAUUCUAUG